CUCAGUCAGCGUUUGGGUGUUACCAGGCUGAAUGGAAUAAGUGGCAUAAAAUAAAAAAGAAAUACCAAGUCAGAACAAGUGGUCUGAACUCACACUCAUUCAUGCUAAAAAGGAAAAGGACUCCAAGACAACCAGUGAAAGAUGCAGCUGCAAUUUUUCCUCCACGAGGAGAUCACUGCAACAGAAGAAAACCUGCAGGUAAGAUCUUCUAAGACUUCCCUGUAAGUUCUCAAGAGGAUCAGUUUCAGGUAACCCAGCAAUGAAUCUUGCUACAAAAACAUCACUUCUGAUUAUGUUUCUUUACCACCUAACAGAUUUUCAGCUGUGUACUUGGGUCUCUUGGGUAACUGAGACAAGUAUUUUUUACUGUAAAGGAUUAAGACACAUGUUUUAAUGGUCAACGGCCUGUGAUGUUACAGGAGCCGCAGCAGAGGUGAAACAGACUGGACUAGUUCUGUUUUCACUCUUAUCUCCUUUCUUAAUGGAACUAAAGGAAAAAAAAAAAAACAGUGGAAAAAACCGAUCUGCUUUGGACAUACACUGGGCACAGGCAUCUUCUUCAUCAAGUCAUCCAGGAUUUUGUACAUGUUCAUCGAUGCGGGAUUUGCAGUGGCUUCCUUGGAGAGCAAGUGCCGUGCUUCAUCCAUUCGGCCUUGCAGUACGAAGAUAUCCACCUGCAGAAAGCACGUCUGUGAGUACCAAGCUGUGCAGGGCUACCACGCACCCAGGUGGAAUAUCAGGAGAAUCUUCAAGAAAGCCAAGUAGAGUUACAAGAUUUCAACUCUAGGCCCUGCUAAUUUGAAUAUACAACCUCUGUGAAUCAUGAAAUUGGAUGGUGGUUGAGUCACUGUCCCUGGAUGUGUUUAAAAGCCAUUUGGAUGUGGUGCUCGGGGACAUGAUUUAGCGGAGGGCUGUUGGGUAGGUAGGGUAGCAUGGUUAGGCUGUAGUUGGACUUGAUGACCCUUCGGGUCUUUUCCAACCUGAGUGAUUCUAUGACCUUGACAAUGCUUUAUCUUAAAACUACAAAGACAGAAGCAGCAUCUCAGGUAUCAGUUUCUGAGAUGUGCUACAGUGCUGAGAAGAGGAAUGCGAGACACACAGGCACGACUUCAUCUAAACGUCUGACAGGGGGCUGUACUCACCACGUUCCAGAAGAGUUUGUGUUUUGAUGGAUUUUCGCUGCUCAGAACUUCACGGACCAUGUUGUCUACAUCACAGAUGUGAAGCUGAACCCAGUCAAGGAGACGAAGCAGGAGAGGACCAGCUUUACACAGAGAAGGUAUCACUGUUAGUUCCCAAACUGUUUGUCCCCAGGCAGUUAAUUUAAGAAGGUUCUUAUGCUUUAAGGUCAAAUAAACUGGGAACAAGUUUUUGUUUAUUAUGCUUCUGUGAGAAAUAAAUAAAUAAGCCAGUGUAAAGUAGAA